rnacentral:rRNA from 1 species
UACGGAGGGUGCAAGCGUUAUCCGGAUUUACUGGGUUUAAAGGGUGUGUAGGCGGACUUUUAAGUCCGUGGUGAAAUCUCCGGGCUCAACCCGGAAACCGCCAUGGAUACUAUUGGUCUUGAAUAUUGUUGAGGUGGGCGGAACGGGUCAUGUAGCGGUGAAAUGCAUAGAUAUGACCCGGAACACCGAUUGCGAAGGCAGCCCACUAAGCAAUGAUUGACGCUGAGGCACGAAAGCGUGGGGAUCAAACAGG